AUGAAUUCAAGUGGCCUAUCAGCCGUGCAAACGGACGGUCUACUUUUCAUUCUCACACACUGUGCACAUGAAGCCUUUAAAAACAUAUUAAUACCAUGUUUUUGAUACUUUUAACACUUGUAUAUGUCAAAGUCCUUUGAUGUAACCACAUUUUGAUAAAUGAAAGAA
rnacentral:misc_RNA from 1 species